UGGUGGAGUGAUUUGUCUGGUUAAUUCCGUUAACGAACGAGACCUUAGCCUGCUAAAUAGUUGGGAGAAACCUCGGUUUCUUGCUAGCUUCUUAGAGGGACUUCGUGUGUUUAACACGAGGAAGUUUGAGGCAAUAACA
rnacentral:rRNA from 1 species